rnacentral:misc_RNA from 1 species
GAUGAAGAACGCAGCGAAAUGCGAUAAGUAGUGUGAAUUGCAGAAUUCAGUGAAUCAUCGAAUCUUUGAACGCACAUUGCGCCUUCUAGUAUUCUGGGAGGCAUGCCUGUUUGAGCGUCAUUACAACCCUCAAGCUCAGCUUGGUAUUGGGCCCCGCCGCUCCGGCGGGCCCUAAAGUCAGUGGCGGUGCCGUCCGGCUCCGAGCGUAGUAAUUCUUCUCGCUCUGGAGGCCCGGUCGUGUGCUCGCCAGCAACCCCCAAUUUUUUUCAGGUUGACCUCGGAUCAGGUAGGGAUACCCGCUGAACUUAAGCAUAUCAAUAAGCGGAGGA